GAGUUGAUGAAGUCUUGGAGGUCUUGGGAGUAAAGUAAGUGUGAUUUACAUAUUUGGAUAUGAAUUGUAAUGGCCAGAGCAUGGCUGUGGUAGAUAAUGUCUAGAGAUGGCCACCAUUAUUUUUUUUUUCUCCUCUAUUCGCACAUAGUACUUCUCCUGUACUCUUGAAACUGGGAUGAAAUUAGCAACUUUGUUAACCAAUAUAAUGCCACAGAAGUGACUUUCGAGACUUGCAAGGUUAUAUCCUAAGAAGUCUUGUAUCUUCUUUCUGGAUCACUUGGAAUGCUUGCCAUGGGAACCAAGCCACUGGUUUAUGAGAAGUGCAAGUCAAAUGGAGAAACCAUGUGUUGGCAAGCUAGUCUGCAUCCUCAGAUUCAGAGCAACCCGAGAAGGUUGAAAGUUUUCUUGGAAUCAUGGAAGGUCAAGCUGAAAGGAUGCUUUCAAGUUAUUUAAAUCCACAUGUGAAACGUGGAGAGGGUGAGUAACAUGUUUUACAUUAUACAUCAAGUAGGCAUAAGGACUAGGAUCUGUGUCUCCUCAUCCGUGGACCGGUGCUCUCUCUCGUCACCAUUUUGCUACUUCUUACUUUAUGAUUUCUGUCAUCCUUAAGGCUUCCAGUGUGAUCCAUUCCACAAGGUAAUUUUAGCUUAAUAUCCCAUGGGAAGUGUGAUGCUUUCCCCCUUGCACCUUAGUUUUUGCUGGGAAAGCCUAGGGAAUACGGAAGUCAAGUAGGCUGCCUCAUGAUCCCAUCAUUGGACCCUGAGUUUAACUUUUCCACUUGACUCAUUUGGUAUUUUUCACAAUAACUAUUUUUUAUGAGAUGAUUCCUUAUUUUGUCUUAUUUUCCAUGCUUAAAUGUGCCAAUCCUUGUUCAGAUGCAUACACUGGAAAACAACCUAGGAAACAGCUUAGGAAAACAACAUAAUUUCUGCGCUGCUUGUUAGUUUCAUUGUUUUUUAUAAAACAUAUGGAUAUUUCUUAUAAAUAUAUUUGUAUGCAUCUAGUUCAGAGGGACAAUAGAAUAUUUAUAGUGAUUUUUAUGCCAUUUCUUUAUUUUCAACAUCUAAAACUACAUUUUAUGAUUAUUUUUAUCUACUUUUCUUUUUCCUCUAGCUCUUUAAGACAUUAAUAGUUGAUUUUGUACCAGCCCUUGACUUACUUGACUUCUUCAAGCAAGGCAGGGGCUUGUUUUCCCAAUUUGGUUGACCCAUGUGUAAUUUCCUUUAAUAGAUGAGGGAAUUUCAAUUUCUUUGACGACAUUUAAGUUGUAUAGGACACCUUUUUGAAUGAAACCUGAUGAAUUAAAUAGAGUUAAAUAACAUUCAAGAGGAGUUUUUUUCUCUGAUAUCUAAUAGUUGUACAUACUUUUGCCAAUUGGGAUUUUGAAGGUGAAACCAGGGGGCAUAGAUAUAGAAAAGAUUGGCUAGCUCUUCACCAAAUCAAUUUCUUUUCUCUCUUGGGAAUGAAGCUGGAUACAUUUUUCAAUGCCCAUUGCAGUUAAUGUGUCCCUAUGACUGAGUUUUAACCAAUGGAGUGUGGGUAGAGUAAUGUGCACCAUUUCCAGGCCUAGGCGUCAAAAGCACCUCACACUCUAUUCAUUCCACAAAUAUUUAUUAAGUGUCCACCAUGUUCCAGGCCCUUGUAAGUGAGUAAAGUGAUGCUGUUGUCAAAAGGAUGUCAACAGAUAGGAUUUAAGAAUAUAAAGUUUCUUUAACGGCAAAGAAUAUAAAAACUUAUUUGCAAAACUCCCCUAACCCCCAAUUCUAGGUGCUUGACAAAUUUAUAGUACAUCUUUACUUUUAACAGCUUUAUAGAGGUAUAAUUUAUGUGCAAAGAAGUACACAUGUUUAAUAUGUUCAAUCUGAUGAGUUUGGACAGUUCCAAAUCCUUGUGAUAACCAUUACCACAAUGAAGUUAAUAGAUAUAUCUAACACCUUCCCUUUUUUUGUGGUAAGGACACUUAACUUGAGAGAUAUCUUCUUAAUAAAUUUUGAAGUGUACAAUAUUUUGUUAACUAUAGGCACUGUGUUGUACAGCAGAUCUCUAGAACUUAUUCAACUAGUAUGACAAACUUUAUAUCCACUGAACAACAACUCUCUGUUUCCAUCUUCACCCCCCACCCCUGGCAACCACUAUUGUAUUCUUUGUUUUCAUGAGUUUGAUUAUUAUGGAUACCUCAUGUGGAGGAAUCAUGCAGUAUUUGUCCUUCAGUGACUGGCUUUUCCUAAAUGAGCAAAGAACUUGAACAGAUGUUUCUCCAAAGAAGACAUGGUAUAUCUUAAUGAGAUUAAUUUAGAAAAGCUGGGAAGACGGGCUCAGGAGGAGGUAAGAGUGGUGAUCUCAAACGAGGACUUAAAAGGACCCUGAGUUUAUUUUCCUUUGCUUUAAUGAGGCUAAUAUCAAAGUGGGAGGGCUCAAACCACAGCAACAAAAAAGAGGAACCAUUGGGUGGCCUUACUGCAGAGUGGGGAUGCUGGGACACCCUGCAAACAACAUGGUAAGGGAGCUGUGGCUCUACGAGGAGGUUGGUUAAGGUUUGGUGGUGAUAAACAACACAGUUUUCUGCACUUAAUAAAUAAGAGCACAAUGUACUGUUAUAUUUGGCAAUUGUUUUAAUGAGGUCUUGUUUUUGUUCAAGCAGUUUCACUGGCAGCUUCGUAUCUUCCUGGAGUCAUGGAAGUCAGGAAAACUUAUUCUUCUCACUAGCUGUAGGCAUCUGUACCUCUUGCUCUGUGUAGCCAUCAUUGUCCCAUUUGUUUCCUCCAUCAGAGGAGUUUCACUGUAUCUGUUGGUGUUUUCUGUCAAACCCCAUUUCCCUUGUGUCCAUUCUCAGCGAUGGUAAAUGAAAC
ensembl:lncRNA